GGGAAUUUUGCGCAAUGGGCGAAAGCCUGACGCAGCAACGCCGCGUGGAGGAUGAAGGCCUUCGGGUCGUAAACUCCUGUCAGUAGGGACGAAUGCUUCGCAAGAAGUUUGACUGUACCUGCUGAGGAAGCCACGGCUAACUCCGUGCCAGCAGCCGCGGUAAUACGGGGGUGGCAAGCGUUGUUCGGAAUUACUGGGCGUAAAGGGCGCGUAGGCGGCAUUACAAGUCAGAUGUGAAAGCCCCGAGCUUAACUCGGGAAUUGCAUCUGAAACUGUUUUGCUUGAGUCCUGGAGGGGGUAGUGGAAUUCCCAGUGUAGCGGUGAAAUGCGUAGAUAUUGGGAGGAACACCUGCGGCGAAGGCGGCUACCUGGACAGUGACUGACGCUGAGGCGCGAAAGCUAGGGGAGCGAACGGGAUUAGA
rnacentral:rRNA from 1 species